UACGUAGGGGGCUAGCGUUGUCCGGAAUCAUUGGGCGUAAAGCGCGUGUAGGCGGCCCGGUAAGUCCGCUGUGAAAGUCCAGGGCUCAACCCUGGGAUGCCGGUGGAUACUGUCGGGCUCGAGUCCGGAAGAGGCGAGUGGAAUUCCCGGUGUAGCGGUGAAAUGCGCAGAUAUCGGGAGGAACACCAAUGGCGAAGGCAGCUCGCUGGGACGGUACUGACGCUGAGGAGCGAAGGCGUGGGGAGCGAACGGG
rnacentral:rRNA from 1 species